rnacentral:lncRNA from 1 species
UCGAAUUUUGGGUCGCUUGAAAUUCGGGACAUGACAAUGCAUGUAUGUGUUUUGAUAGCACAAACUUCUUCACUAGCUAAAUAAUGAAUGCAGCAAAAAAAAUUUCUCAAUUUUGAAAGGUCAACUUCCUUAGUUUCAUCAACUAAAUUAUUUGAGUAUUGAAACAGAACAUAUGAGAAGCGUACAAUGCACCUCUUCCUUUCACACAACUAUAUCAUUAGGUCUCACUUUGUUGCUUGCAUGGAAUGCUAGCGAUCAUAUAUGAUAACAUAAUUGAAGCGUACAAUGCACCUCUUCCUUUCACACUACUAUAUUGUUAGGUCUCACUUUGUUGCUUGCAUGGAAUGCUAGCGAUCAUAUCUUCAAUAAA